rnacentral:rRNA from 1 species
ACGUUAGCGGCGACGGGUGAGUAACACGUGGGUAACCUACCUAUAAGACUGGGAUAACUUCGGGAAACCGGAGCUAAUACCGGAUAAUAUUUCGAACCGCAUGGUUCGAUAGUGAAAGAUGGUUUUGCUAUCACUUAUAGAUGGACCUGCGCCGUAUUAGCUAGUUGGUAAGGUAACGGCUUACCAAGGCGACGAUACGUAGCCGACCUGAGAGGGUGAUCGGCCACACUGGAACUGAGACACGGUCCAGACUCCUACGGGAGGCAGCAGUC